GGCGGAGGGGACUUGGCAGGUGCUAAGAUUUAUUGGGGAAAGGCUCACUUGACAAGGUUUUGGGCAAGGUGACUUGGCCAAAUCUACAAUAAAACUGAACAUUCCUUUAAUCAGCACCAUCAGAAAGGAAGGGGAUAUGUGCCUGCUUGUCACCGUUCAUCAAAGCACAGGAUGAGACUGUGACAGACCCCACUGAAGGGAUGCUGAGAGGAGAAAGAAAAGUGAAGGGCGGAAGAAAGAACAAAAGCCAAGACAAGAAAUCACAAAAGAAAGGAUGUCCGUGUGUGAGACAGGCUGGCUCUCUCUCCCACAGUGCCCAGUAGCUGCCAGCCUGGACUUGACCCAGGGGAGUUCCAGCCUAAGGAGGAGUCUUCUCUCCCAGGAGGCCAGCAGCUAGUGUAGCUCUAAUCAACUAAUUCAUAAAAUUCUAAGAAUCAAAAGAUUACCCUGCCAGCCAGUUUCUGCCUUGAAGGUUUUAAAUAUAAGAUAUGCACACUUUUCUGAGGACUCAAGGGAUGGAUGCCAUUGUCACAUUAAUUAUUACAGAGGAACUGUAAUUAUUACAUUAAUAAUUAAUUAUUGCAUCG